UCCCUUUCAUUACCUGCGGCUCCUCUUUCUGUCCUGGCCUUGUUGCAGGGCUUUCCUUUAACCACUGUGUUCUCCUCCUGCAGCUGGGACCUGUGCACCCCGACUCCCCUUGCUCUUCUCUGCUUCCGUCUCUCGGCCUUCCGUCCAGGAUCUCUUGUGGGAGGAUCCAUUUCCCCGCACUCCCCAGACCUGCCCAUUAUGUCAAAG